rnacentral:rRNA from 1 species
GACGAACGCUGGCGGCGUGCCUAACACAUGCAAGUCGAACGGAGAUAUGGAAGUAGUUUACUAUUGAAAUAUCUUAGUGGCGGACGGGUGAGUAACACGUGGGCAACCUGCCUUAGAGUGGGGGAUAACACCGAGAAAUCGGUGCUAAUACCGCAUAAAAUUAGAUUAUCGCAUGAUGAUUUAAUCAAAGGAGCAAUCCGCUUUAAGAUGGGCCCGCGUCUGAUUAGCUAGUUGGUGGGUAGAAGCCUACCAAGGCGACGAUCAGUAGCCGAUCUGAGAGGAUGAACGGCCACACUGGAACUGAGACACGGUCCAGACUCCUACGGGAGGCAGCAGUGGGGAAUAUUGCACAAUGGAGGGAAAC